rnacentral:rRNA from 1 species
UACGUAGGUGGCAAGCGUUGUUCGGAAUUAUUGGGCGUAAAGGGCGCGUAGGCGGCCUUCUAAGUCAGACGUGAAAUCCCCGGGCUCAACCCGGGAACUGCGUCUGAUACUGGGGGGCUUGAAUCCGGGAGAGGGAUGUGGAAUUCCAGGUGUAGCGGUGAAAUGCGUAGAUAUCUGGAGGAACACCGGUGGCGAAGGCGGCAUCCUGGACCGGUAUUGACGCUGAGGCGCGAAAGCCAGGGGAGCAAACGGG